rnacentral:tmRNA from 1 species
CUGGUUUUGACAGCGAGUGGAAUUAUUUAGUAAGCACGUCGAGCCAAGUAUGGUAGGCUCGUAAAUAUCUGCUAUACGACUUAUAAACGGCGAAAAUAACUACGCUUUAGCUGCUUAAUCUGAAUCACAGUAAGAUUUGCCUCGUCCGGCCAGGUCGGAAAGCUAAAUUCUCCUCAAAAGCCUUGGUUUGUGGCGUUUGGUUUAGGGGAACCGCAAAAAUAAACCUAGAAAGGGUAACGCUUUAAAUCCCUUUUGACACGGAUAAAGCUAAGCCAAAAGUGGUAGUUUCCAACCGAGCUUUUGGUCGAAAAAACAAACGGAAACUAAACGUGUAGAAAGCUCUUUGAUUGCUCGUUUGGACCCGAGUUCGAUUCUCGGCGACUCCACUA